rnacentral:piRNA from 1 species
UACAGAAGUAGAUAGUGUGUGACUC